rnacentral:lncRNA from 1 species
UUGAAGCUAGGUUAAGAAGAUGGGUGAUGAGCGAGCAGCAGUGCGUCUUCAUGCCAGAUGCUAUUUUUGCUUUAAGAGUGUUGAUGUAGAAGUAUAGAGAAGGUCAGAAGGAGCUGCACUGAGUCUUUGUGGAUCUAGACAAAGCAUCUGAUAGACCCCGCGAAAAUAUAGAGGGGUUAUAAAAUAUAAUUAAGGAAUUCUAUAACUCCUAUCAUCCUGAUUCAAAUAAUCAAAUAGUGUUUUCAGUUAGUUUAUCAAGAGUUCAGACUUAUCUGUAUUCUGUUUCAUGUAGAUUACCCAGAAGAAGUGGGUGUUGCAGUGGCCUGGCCAAGUUCUUAUUUGUGCCUCUUCUAUAUAUUAGACCAGCCAAGUGUCUGAAGCCAUCCAGACCAACCCUCUGCCUGCCUAUGUGGAGAAGUGCAAUGCCCAGAUUGCUGACAUUGUGGAGCUGCUUGAAGUGCAAUGCUAUGAUAAAAAGAGGACGCAGCCCAAGGCAGCAGGGUGCGGCCGUAGUCGUAGGAGAAGGAGAGAGGGCCCUCGGUCCGUGGGUGGCAGACUUCUUCCAGGUGGUAGCAAGACGCCAGCUAAAACGCUUAAGGUGGAGUUUGGAGCUCCGCCCUCGCAGGUGGUAGCGGAGUGGCGGAGGACACUAUGUGAGUACGCUGUCGGCCUGGCCCCACUGGUGGAGUUCGGCACUUUUAGCAGCCUUAAGUGUGGCGGAGACUGAUUGGGACCCUUGGGGGCUUCAGCUCGCGGACUGAGGACUGGACUUUUGUUAUCCUUAGUUUUAUGUUUUUUUUAAUUAUUCUUUUCCCUGAUCAGGGUAUUUU